rnacentral:rRNA from 1 species
UGGGAACCUUCCCUAUGGUUCGGAAUAGCCCAGGGAAACUUGGGGUAAUACCGGAUAAGCCCUUCGGGGGAAAGAUUUAUCGCCAUUGGAUGGGCCCGCGUCGGAUUAGCUAGUUGGUGAGGUAACGGCUCACCAAGGCAACGAUUCGUAGCUGGUCUGAGAGGAUGAUCAGCCGCACUGGGACUGAGACACGGCCCAGACUCCUACGGGAGGCAG